rnacentral:rRNA from 1 species
UUCUAAGGGCGGUGAAGUCAGACCGGAAGGACUGGUGGAGCGCUUAGAAGUGAGAAUGCCGGUAUGAGUAGCGAAAGAAGGGUGAGAAUCCCUUCCACCGAAUAUCUAAGGUUUCCUGAGGAAGGCUCGUCCGCUCAGGGUUAGUCGGGACCUAAGCCGAGGCCGAUAGGCGUAGGCGAUGGACAACAGGUAGAGAUUCCUGUACCAGUGCUAAUUGUUUAACCGAUGGGGUGACACAGAAGGAUAGGGAAUCGCACGAAUGGAAAUGUGCGUCCAAGCAGUGAGUGUGAGAAGUAGGCAAAUCCGCUUCUCGCGAAGCAUGAGCUGUGAUGGGGAAGGAAAUUAAGUACGGAAGUUCCUGAUUUCACGCUGUCAAGAAAAGCCUCUAGGAAGAGUAGUACUGCCCGUACCGCAAACCGACACAGGUAGAUGAGGAGAGAAUCCUAAGGUGAGCGAGAGAACUCUCGUUAAGGAACUCGGCAAAAUGACCCCGUAACUUCGGGAGAAGGGGUGCUCUAUUAGGGUGCAAGCCCGAGAGAGCCGCAGUGAAUAGGCCCAGGCGACUGUUUAGCAAAAACACAGGUCUCUGCAAAACCGUAAGGUGACGUAUAGGGGCUGACGCCUGCCCGGUGCUGGAAGGUUAAGAGGAGUGCUUAGCUUCGGCGAAGGUACGAAUUGAAGCCCCAGUAAACGGCGGCCGUAACUAUAACGGUCCUAAGGUAGCGAAAUUCCUUGUCGGGUAAGUUCCGACCCGCACGAAAGGCGCAACGAUCUGGGCACUGUCUCAACGAGAGACUCGGUGAAAUUAUAGUACCUGUGAAGAUGCAGGUUACCCGCGACAGGACGGAAAGACCCCGUGGAGCUUUACUGCAACCUGAUAUGGAAUGUUUGUACCGCUUGUAC